rnacentral:rRNA from 1 species
GACAGAGGGUGCAAACGUUGCUCGGAAUCAUUGGGCGUAAAGGGCGCGUAGGUGGCCACUUCAAGCGUGCGGUGAAAGUCGGGGGCUCAACCCCUGAUCGGCCGUGCGAACUGGGGGGCUGGAGCACUGUAGAGGGUAGUGGAAUUUCCGGUGUAGCGGUGAAAUGCGUAGAGAUCGGAAGGAACACCAGUGGCGAAGGCGGCUACCUGGACACAUAUUGACGCUGAGGUGCGAAAGCGUGGGGAGCAAACAGG